rnacentral:rRNA from 1 species
AUACGUAGGAACCAAGCGUUGUCCGGAAUUACUGGGUGUAAAGGGUGCGCAGGCGGAUUUGUGCGUCAAGGGUUAAAUACCUCGGCUCAACCGAGGAAAUGCCUUUGAUACGGCAAGUCUUGAGUACGAGAGAGGAUGGUAGAAUUCCUGGUGUAGCGGUGAAAUGCGUAGAUAUCAGGAGGAAUACCCGUGGCGAAGGCGGCCAUCUGGCUCGUUACUGACGCUCCGGCACGAAAGCGUGGGGAGCAAACAGGAUUAGAAACCCCAGUAGUCC